UCAGAACGAACGCUGGCGGCAGGCCUAACACAUGCAAGUCGAACGAUGAAGGCUCUAGCUUGCUAGAGCUGGAUUAGUGGCGCACGGGUGAGUAACACGUGGGAAUUUGCCCUUAGGUACGGAAUAGCCCCGGGAAACUGGGAGUAAUACCGUAUGAUGUCUUCGGACCAAAGAUUUAUCGCCUAAGGAUAAGCCCGCGUCGCAUUAGCUAGUUGGUGGGGUAAUGGCCUACCAAGGCGACGAUGCGUAGCUGGUUUGAGAGGAUGAUCAGCCACACUGGGACUGAGACACGGCCCAGACUCCUACGGGAGGCAGCAGUGAGGAAUAUUGGACAAUGGGCGCAAGCCUGAUCCAGCCAUGCCGCGUGAGUGAAGAAGGCCUUAGGGUUGUAAAACUCUUUCAGAUGGAAAGAUAAUGACGGUACCAUCAGAAGAAGCCCCGGCUAACUUCGUGCCAGCAGCCGCGGUAAUACGAAGGGGGCUAGCGUUGUUCGGAAUCACUGGGCGUAAAGCGCACGCAGGCGGAUCAUUAAGCUAGGGGUGAAAUCCCGGGGCUCAACCUCGGAACUGCCUUUAGAACUGGUGAUCUAGAGUCCGGAAGAGGAUGGUGGAACUCCUAGUGUAGAGGUGAAAUUCGUAGAUAUUAGGAGGAACACCAGUGGCGAAGGCGGCCAUCUGGUCCGGAACUGACGCUCAGGUGCGAAAGUGUGGGGAGCAAACAGGAUUAGAUACCCUGGUAGUCCACACCGUAAACGAUGAGUGCUAGAUGUCGGGGGUUUGACCUUCGGUGUCGCAGCUAACGCAUUAAGCACUCCGCCUGGGGAGUACGGUCGCAAGAUUAAAACUCAAAGGAAUUGACGGGGACCCGCACAAGCGGUGGAGCAUGUGGUUUAAUUCGAGGCAACGCGAAGAACCUUACCAGCUUUUGCAUCCCGAUCGCGGAUUUCAGAGAUGAUUUCCUUCAGUUCGGCUGGAUCGGUGACAGGUGCCGCAUGGCUGUCGUCAGCUCGUGUCGUGAGAUGUUGGGUUAAGUCCCGCAACGAGCGCAACCCUUGCCCUUAGUUGCCAGCACAUUAUGGUGGGAACUCUAAGGGAACUGCCCGGGUUAACCGGGAGGAAGGUGGGGACGACGUCAAGUCAUCAUGGCCCUUACAGGCUGGGCUACACACGUGCUACAAUGGUGGAUACAGUGGGCAGCGACCUCGUGAGGGGAAGCGAAUCUCCAAAAUCCAUCUCAGUUCGGAUUGCAGGCUGCAACUCGCCUGCAUGAAGUUGGAAUCGCUAGUAAUCGCGCAUCAGCAUGGCGCGGUGAAUACGUUCCCGGGUCUUGUACACACCGCCCGUCACACCAUGGGAGUGGUUUUUAC
rnacentral:rRNA from 1 species